UGAGCAAUCUGCCCUUCACAUCGGAAUAACCAUUGGAAACGAUGGCUAAUACCGAAUAUGACUUCGGAUCGCAUGAUCUGAAGUGGAAAGCUCCGGCGGUGAAGGAUGAGCUCGCGGCCUAUCAGCUAGUUGGUGUGGGUAAUGGCCCACAAGGCGACGACGGGUAGCCGGCCUGAGAGGGCGACCGGCCACACUGGGACUGAGACACGGCCCGGACUCGUACGGGAGG
rnacentral:rRNA from 1 species